rnacentral:lncRNA from 1 species
AAGACAUUGUAUCGCUGCAUGAUAAGUACAGCCCUUCAGAUAAAGAUUUGGCUUAGUAGUGCUCUUGCCGUGGCGACGAACGCACAGGUGGUGAUGGGCGCUUGCAAGCAUUGCGGAUAUGCCGGCUUUGUGUCCAGAAAGGGCCUUGUCCCGGUGCUGAUAGUGACACUGAUAAUCUACGUGGUGAAAGAGCACCCUCAAAAUGGGGACGCCACUGACACGCCGCGGCCG